GACUAAGCGUCCCGUUGGCCAGUGCAACGAAGAACGGAGGAAGCGACGCAGUGGCCUUGUGUGGGCCUUCAGCUUCCAGUUCCAUGGCCUGGUGGAGGACCCUGUGGUGCAAGCCUUCCUCCAGACCCCCCUGGCCUGGGGCCCAAGACUGGGAAGCCUUUGAAGAUUUCAGUUUGUAAGUAGUGAGAGCAAUGAUCUUGGCUUUGCAUGGUGCUCAGGAAGCCUUCCCCGCUCCCAAACCAGAAAGGAAUCCAUCCAGAUUUUCCUCCACUGUCUGGAUGGCCGCUCUGUGGAUGCUUCCAUCUGUAUCCAUUGCCGGCACCUGGUGAGAUUCCGUCUCUAGAGCCUUUGAGGUCACUCCUGACGCUGACAUGGCUGUGAAGAGCUGGGUGCCAGGCAUUACUGCCUCCAAGGUUGCUUUGCGAGGAAUAGGUGGGGCAUCAGGAAGAAGCCAGUUGCAGGCAAGGCCUCUGCUGAUGCUGCUUUUUUCUCCUGUACCCAUCCAUGGGAGGGAGCUGUGAGAUGGCCUGGCAGAACCCGCUCUUGGACCCCACAGAAUGAGAGGCUCACCCUGCACAGGAACAUCCUGGGGCAGCAGGCUCAGCACAUUUUAAAUUUUGAGUAUGAACAAAGUAAACUUCAGGGUUAAAAAAAAACACAAAAAUUUGUCGAGCACACAAUGAUUGAGUGCCUAUGGUAUACCUGACGCUUUGCCAUAUCCAGGCUUCAAACCUCAGGGUUCUGGGUCCUUUGAGGCCCAGCUCCAACCCCACCUCACCCAAGCACUCUCCACCCCCACCACGUAACCUUACCAGGGCUGCCCAGCUUGGGUCAUCUCAGACCACUUGGGCCCCUCAGGCCUCACGCCCUGAGCCCCUCAGCCUGGAAACCAGCCUGGACACUAUGGGGGCCCCUGAGGUUUCCACCUCCUGCUGCCCUUGGCCUGAAAGGGGUCAGUGGGACCCCGCCUUGGGCCUCUGGGAGGCUGUACCUUUGCUUCUGC
rnacentral:lncRNA from 10 species